GCGCCGAGCGGCAGCUAGCCUACAACGAAGAUCUGCACAAGGGCGCUACAAGAUCUGCAUGGACGUCCUAGAAUCCACCGGGUGAGAUGGAUUCUUUUUCUCUUUUAUUCUCCACUCGUCCUGCUGUAGACCAAAUAGAUCAGAUUUAUUGGAAGAUAUGUUGUGAUGUUGAUGAUUGAUUUCAGUCUGUAGUAACAUGAGUCCCACGCUCGGCCUCCUGCAAGGGCGACCUUUCCUACUCCCAAAAGCAGACCUGGUUCAAGAUCAGAGGCAACAAGUAAGCUCCUACUAUGUGUCUAUGUUAAUUUGUCAUCUCAGUAUAAUUCAUCCCCAUCCCACUACAUUUAGUUCAGUUCAGUUAAGUGAUUAGGCAUAAUGCGCGAAUGCAAGCAAGGUUGGGAUGAAUGGGUCGAUGGUGUCAUGCCUCGGCCCACAGGACCAGGUAAGGCAACUUGCACUUUGAUUUCCAAAGUGGUGGUUUGGA
rnacentral:lncRNA from 1 species